rfam:Cloacibacillus evryensis DSM 19522 genomic scaffold CloevDRAFT_Scaffold1.1, whole genome shotgun sequence.
GUGAGUGUAGCUCAAUUGGUUAGAGUACCGGAUUGUGGUUCCGGUGGUUGCGGGUUCAAUUCCCGUCACUCACC